rnacentral:rRNA from 1 species
AUACGGAGGGUGCGAGCGUUAAUCGGAAUUACUGGGCGUAAAGCGCGCGUAGGCGGUUUGUUAAGUCGGAUGUGAAAUCCCCGGGCUCAACCUGGGACCUGCAUCCGAUACUGGCAGGCUAGAGUCUGGUAGAGGGGGGUAGAAUUCCUGGUGUAGCGGUGAAAUGCGUAGAUAUCAGGAGGAAUACCAGUGGCGAAGGCGGCCCCCUGGACUGAGACUGACGCUGACGUGCGAAAGCGUGGGUAGCAAACAGGAUUAGAAACCCUAGUAGUCCC